rnacentral:rRNA from 1 species
CCUACGGGAGGCAGCAGUGAGGAAUAUUGGUCAAUGGACGAAAGUCUGAACCAGCCAAGUAGCGUGAAGGAUGACUGCCCUAUGGGUUGUAAACUUCUUUUAUAUGGGAAUAAAAUGUUCCACGUGUGGGAUUUUGUAUGUACCCUAUGAAUAAGGAUCGGCUAACUCCGUGCAAGCAGCCGCGUUAAUACGGAGGAUUCGAGCGUUAUCCGGAUUUAUUGGGUUUAAAGGGAGCGUAGGUGGAUUGUUAAGUCAGUUGUGAAAGGUGGCGGCUCAACCGUAAAACUGCAGUUGAAACUGGCAGUCGUGAGUACAGUAGAGGUAGGCGGAAUUCGUGGUGUAGCGGUGAAAUGCUUAGAUAUCACGAAGAACUCAGAUUGCGAAGGCAGCUCACUGGACUGCAACUGACGCUGAGGCUCGAAAGCGUGGGUAUCAAACAGGAUUAGAUACCCCAGUAGUC